AGUGAACGCUGGCGGUAGGCCUAACACAUGCAAGUCGAACGGCAGCACAGUAAGAGCUUGCUCUUACGGGUGGCGAGUGGCGGACGGGUGAGGAAUACAUCGGAAUCUACUUUUUCGUGGGGGGUAACGUAGGGAAACUUACGCUAAUACCGCAUACGACCUACGGGUGAAAGCAGGGGAUCUUCGGACCUUGCGCGAUUGAAUGAGCCGAUGUCGGAUUAGCUAGUUGGCGGGGUAAAGGCCCACCAAGGCGACGAUCCGUAGCUGGUCUGAGAGGAUGAUCAGCCACACUGGAACUGAGACACGGUCCAGACUCCUACGGGAGGCAGCAGUGGGGAAUAUUGGACAAUGGGCGCAAGCCUGAUCCAGCAAUACCGCGUGGGUGAAGAAGGCCUUCGGGUUGUAAAGCCCUUUUGUUGGGAAAGAAAAGCAGCAGGUUAAUACCCCGCUGUUCUGACGGUACCCAAAGAAUAAGCACCGGCUAACUUCGUG
rnacentral:rRNA from 1 species